CAGCCAUCCUUCAAAGAAAGCGUAAUAGCUCACUGAUCGAGUCUUCCUGCGCGGAAGAUGUAACGGGGCUAAGUCAAUAACCGAAGCCGCGGAUUCGCAGCAAUGCGAGUGGUAGGGGAGCGUUCUGUAAGCCUGCGAAGGCGGAUCCGCGAGGACCGCUGGAGGUAUCAGAAGUGCGAAUGCUGACAUGAGUAACGUUAAAGCGGGUGAAAAGCCCGCUCGCCGCAAGCCCAAGGUUUCCUGCUCUACGUUCAUCGGAGCAGGGUGAGUCGGCCCCUAAGGUCAGGCUGAGAAGCGUAGCUGAUGGGAAGCUGGUUAAUAUUCCAGCACCGAUUUCAAGUGCGAAGGGGGGACGGAGUCCUGAAGGUCAUCCGGGUGUUGGAUAUCCCGGUUUACGAGCGUAGGAGGUUGACAGGCAAAUCCGUCAACGAAUCUCCAAGGCGAAGGAUCGAGGUUGAGAGAUCAACUGAAGUGACUGAAUGGGCUUCCAGGAAAAGCCUCUAAGCAUCAGCUUGGAAUUGACCGUACCGCAAACCGACACUGGUGGGCGAGCUGAAUAUGCUCAGGCGCUUGAGAGAACUCAGGAGAAGGAACUCGGCAAAUUGACACCGUAACUUCGGGAUAAGGUGUGCCUUUGUAGUGUGAAGAGAGAAACACUCCGAGCAUGAAGAGGCCUCAGAGAAUCGGUGGCUGCAACUGUUUACUAAAAACACAGCACUCUGCAAAGAUGAAAGUCGACGUAUAGGGUGUGAUGCCUGCCCGGUGCUGGAAGAUUAAUUGAUGGGGUGCAAGCUCCUGAUCGAAGUCCCAGUAAACGGCGGCCGUAACUAUAACGGUCCUAAGGUAGCGAAAUUCCUUGUCGGGUAAGUUCCGACCUGCACGAAUGGCAUAAUGAUGGCCACACUGUCUCCUCCUGAGACUCAGUGAAGUUGAAAUGUUUGUGAUGAUGCAAUCUCCCCGCGGCUAGACGGAAAGACCCCAUGAACCUUUACUGCAGCUUUGCAUUGGACUUUGAACCGAUCUGUGUAGGAUAGGUGGGAGGCAGUGAAGCUAGGACGCCAGUCUUAGCGGAGCCAACCUUGAAAUACCACCCUGAUUUGUUUGAGGUUCUAACCUAGGAGCGUAAUCCGCUUCGGGGACCGUGCAUGGUAGGCAGUUUGACUGGGGCGGUCUCCUCC
rnacentral:rRNA from 1 species